rnacentral:rRNA from 1 species
GACGAACGCUGGCGGCGUGCUUAACACAUGCAAGUCGAACGGAAAGGCCCUGCUUUUUUGGUGUGCUCGAGUGGCGCACGUGUGUGUAACACGUGAGUAACCUGCCCUUCACUUUGGUAUACCUUCAGGAAUCUGUGGCUUAUACCGGAUAGGAGCUCCUGCUCCAUGGUGUGGGUUGGAAAGUUUCGGCGGUUGGGGAUGGACUCGCGGCUUAUCAGCUUGUUGGUGGGGUAGUGGCUUACCAAGGCGUUGACGGGUAGCCGGCCUGAGAGGGUGACCGGCCACAUUGGGACUGAGACACGGCCCAGACUCCUACGGGAGGCAGCAGUGGGGAAUAUUGCACAAUGGGCGGAAGCCUGAUGCAGCAACGCCGCGUGCGGGAUGACGGCCUUCGGGUUGUAAACCGCUUUCGGCUGUGACGAAGCGUGAGUGACGGUAAUGGGUAAAGAAGCACCGGCUAACUACGUG